GGGCGCGUAGCUCAGCUGGCAGAGCAGCGGACUCUUAAUCCGCCGGUCGAAGGUUCGAACCCUUCCGCGCUCACCA
rnacentral:tRNA from 3 species